UACGUAUGGGGCAAGCGUUGUCCGGAAUUAUUGGGCGUAAAGGGCUCGUAGGCGGUUUGUCGCGUCGGGAGUGAAAUCCACUGGCUUAACUGGUGGCUUGCUUUCGAUACGGGCAGACUGGAGGUAUGCAGGGGAGAACGGAAUUCCUGGUGUAGCGGUGAAAUGCGCAGAUAUCAGGAGGAACACCGGUGGCGAAGGCGGUUCUCUGGGCAUGUCCUGACGCUGAGGAGCGAAAGUGUGGGGAGCGAACAGG
rnacentral:rRNA from 1 species